rnacentral:piRNA from 1 species
CCUGGUUUUCCAGAUGAUUGCUAACUUGUGC